CUCAGAGAAUCAUUCAUCCCGACCAUCCCCCUCCCACUCCUUGCCUGAAACUUAAUUAAUCAUGUUGCAUCUGGAUCCAGACAAGACAAUAGUGGGGAUGUGUUUUUGGUUAGGAACUGAAGCUGCAUUCACAGAGGAAUGUUGAUUAGUUAGUGGCUCUGUUUAUGAGAUGAUCCAUCAGGUUGUCUCCAUCCAGCCCUUCAGCAAGCCAUAGGCGUUCCAGGAAAAUGCCCUCAGUCUGGGAAACCUAGUGCAGGAAGCAUGUCUUAAUGUGUACAACAUGCCCA